UACGGGGGGGGCAAGCGUUGUUCGGAAUUACUGGGCGUAAAGGGCGUGUAGGUGGCCAACUAAGUCCGACGUGAAAUCCCCAGGCUUAACCUGGGAACUGCGUCGGAUACUGGAUGGCUUGAAUUCGGGAGAGGGAUGCAGAAUUCCAGGUGUAGCGGUGAAAUGCGUAGAUAUCUGGAGGAACACCGGUGGCGAAGGCGGCAUCCUGGACCGGCAUUGACGCUGAGGCGCGAAAGCCAGGGGAGCAAACGGG
rnacentral:rRNA from 1 species